AUUGAACGCUGGCGGCAUGCCUUACACAUGCAAGUCGAACGGUAACAGGUCUUCGGAUGCUGACGAGUGGCGAACGGGUGAGUAAUACAUCGGAACGUGCCCGAGAGUGGGGGAUAACGAGGCGAAAGCUUUGCUAAUACCGCAUACGAUCUCAGGAUGAAAGCAGGGGACCGCAAGGCCUUGCGCUCACGGAGCGGCCGAUGGCAGAUUAGGUAGUUGGUGGGAUAAAAGCUUACCAAGCCGACGAUCUGUAGCUGGUCUGAGAGGACGACCAGCCACAAUGGGACUGAGACACGGCCCAGACUCCUACGGGAGGCAGCAGUGGGGAAUUUUGGACGAUGGGCGCAAGCCUGAUCCAGCCAUGCCGCGUGCAGGAUGAAGGCCUUCGGGUUGUAAACUGCUUUUGUACGGAACGGAAAGACUCUAGUUAAUACCUGGGGUCCAUGACGGUACCGUAAGAAUAAGCACCGGCUAACUACGUGCCAGCCGCCGCGGUAAAAC
rnacentral:rRNA from 1 species